AAGUCGUAACAAGGUUUCCGUAGGUGAACCUGCGGAAGGAUCAUUACCGAGUUAGGGUCGCCUCCGUGCGCCCGACCUCCCAACCCUGUGUCUAUGUUACCUCUCAGUUGCUUCGGCGCGACCGUUCCCGUCCGCGGGACGCCGGACCUCUACUGGUCUGGAGAGCGUCCGCCGACGGCCACAAACCAAAACUCUUGACCUAAAACCUGUCGUCUGAAUUAAAUUUGUGAAAUAAAUCAAAACUUUCAACAACGGAUCUCUUGGUUCGG
rnacentral:misc_RNA from 1 species